rnacentral:lncRNA from 1 species
UCGUGGUCUAUUUAAAUGGGAAAUUGUUUUUACCGGUUGGUACACGUUUUAUUUCAAAAUAUGCACUCUCAUAUACUUUUUUUGUUCUGGAAAGUGAUUUAUGGAUCGCACAAGGGAAUCAUUGAAACAAUGUCUUCUCAUCAUGGAUUGGACUGUGUUCUCAUUAUAGAACAUAAUUUAUUAUGUGAGGCAUUUUCCAUUGCAACAUCUUGUGCAUGGUAUAUUUUUCCCACUAAUUUGAACUGCCUCGCAUACAAAUUGUAUGUAAUACCCCCUUCUCCAUAAAUAAAUGACAUCUGCUUGGGCAAUAGGUCGUCCAAGCAUCGCCUCCUCCCGGUCUUUUGCACUCCUGUGGGAAAUGCGUGUCAGUGUGGUCGAGCCACAUAGAACACCAACAAGUGACAACAGCACACCAUCCCAUAAGUUAUUUUGGCUGAUGUUUCGAUAAAUUUGAUAGUGGAGAUUUGCAUGUGCACAUAACAUAUUCUUGUCCUCGUGGGUAUUCAAGUUGCUAUUCUUUAUAGCAUUAAACAUGCUGAAUUUUACAGGAAUAUUGAUAGAAGGAUUCUAUAAAUUUAUUUAUGACUUUAUGAUUUUGUUUUUACUAUAGUUUAUGGUUUAGUUUGUACCUUGCAAAUUGUGCAAGUAAAAUAUCACUUAUUUAAGAGCCAGAGAGUGUUGUUAAAAUGUGGUUGAUUACCUUUUAAAUGUUUUACAUGAUUCAAUGAUAUAU